GUAUGGUUAAGUGACGAAGCGUAUACGGUGGAUGCCUUGGCAGUUAGAGGCGAUGAAGGACGUGUAAGUCUGCGAAAAGCUGUGGUGAGCCGACAAAAUGCAUUUGAGCCACAGAUGUCCGAAUGGGGAAACCCACCUGUUUACAGGUAUCGUUACGUGAAUACAUAGUGUAACGAGGCGAACGAGGGGAACUGAAACAUCUAAGUACCCUUAGGAAAAGAAAUCAAACGAGAUUCCCCUAGUAGCGGCGAGCGAACGGGGACAGCCCUUAAGCUGUUUAGUGUGUAGUGGAAUCCUUUGGGAAGAGGAGCGAUACAGGGUGAUAGCCCCGUACACAAAGCGUGCUUUACAGUGAAAUCGAGUAGGUCGGGACACGUGUUAUCUUGACUGAAUAUGGGGGGACCAUCCUCCAAGGCUAAAUACUCCUAACUGACCGAUAGUGAACCAGUACCGUGAGGGAAAGGCGAAAAGAACCCCUGUGAGGGGAGUGAAAUAGAACCUGAAACCGUAUACGUACAAGCAGUGGGAGCCCUUCGGGGUGACUGCGUACCUUUUGUAUAAUGGGUCAGCGACUUAUAUUUAGUAGCAAGGUUAAGCGAAUAGCGGAGCCGUAGCGAAAGCGAGUGUUAACUGCGCGUUGAGUUGCUAGGUAUAGACCCGAAACCCGGUGAUCUAGCCAUGAGCAGGUUGAAGGUUGAGUAACAUCAACUGGAGGACCGAACCCACUGACGUUGAAAAGUCAGGGGAUGACUUGUGGCUGGGGGGAAAGGCCAAUCAAACCGGGAGAUAGCUGGUUCUCCCCGAAAUCUAUUUAGGUAGAGCCUCGGACGAAUUCCAUUGGGGGUAGAGCACUGUUAAGGCUAGGGGGUCAUCCCGACUUACCAACCCUUUGCAAACUCCGAAUACCAAUGAGAACUAUCCGGGAGACACACGGCGGGGCUAACGUCCGUCGUGGAGAGGGAAACAACCCAGACCGCCAGCUAAGGUCCCAAAAUAUUGCUAAGUGGGAAACGAUGUGGGAAGGCACAGACAGCUAGGAGGUUGGCUUAGAAGCAGCCACCCUUUAAAGAAAGCGUAAUAGCUCACUAGUCGAGUCGGCCUGCGCGGAAGAUGUAACGGGGCUAAGCAAUAUACCGAAGCUGCGGCAGCAUGUUUACAUGCUGGGUAGGGGAGCGUUGUGUAAGUGGAUGAAGGUGAGUUGUAAAGCUUGCUGGACAUAUCACAAGUGCGAAUGCUGACAUGAGUAACGAUAAUGGGAGUGAAAAACUCCCACGCCGGAAGACCAAGGUUUCCUGUCCCAUGCUAAUCAGGGCAGGGUGAGUCGGCCCCUAAGGCGAGGCAGAAAUGCGUAGUCGAUGGGAAACGGAUUAAUAUUUCCGUACUUUAUAAUCAGUGAUGGAGGGACGGAGAAGGCUAGGCAAGCUUGGCGUUGGUUGUCCAAGUGAAAGUGAGUAGGCUAUUAGGUAAAUCCGGUGCUCUUUAAAAGAGAAGCCGAGACACGAGACGAGCUCCCAAGGGAGUGAAGUUGUUGAUGCCCUGCUUCCAGGAAAAGCUUCUAAACUUAUGAUUAUAUGAACCGUACCCCAAACCGACACAGGUGGUCAGGUAGAGAAUACUAAGGCGCUUGAGAGAACUCGGGUGAAGGAACUCGGCAAAAUUGUACCGUAACUUCGGGAGAAGGUACGCCUCUGUUUGUGAACACUUCGCGUGGUAAGCAAAUGGAGGCCGCAGUGACCAGGUGGCUGGGACUGUUUAUUAAAAACACAGCACUCUGCAAACUCGUAAGAGGACGUAUAGGGUGUGACACCUGCCCGGUGCCGGAAGGUUAAUUGAUGGGGUUAGUUCGGACGAAGCUCUUGAUCGAAGCCCCGGUAAACGGCGGCCGUAACUAUAACGGUCCUAAGGUAGCGAAAUUCCUUGUCGGGUAAGUUCCGACCGCACGAAGGUGAACCUGGCACUGUCUCACGAGACCGUGAAAUUAUGCGUGAAGAUGCUGUGUACCCGCCGACGGAAAGACCCCGUGACUUUACUAGCUGAUGAAUUGAACCUACAUGUGUAGGAUAGGUGGGAGGCUUUGAAGCACAGUCGCUAGAUUGUGUGGAGCCGUCCUUGAAAUACCACCCUUGUAUGUUUGAUGUUCUAACAUUGGCCCCUUAUCGGGGUUGUGGACAGUGUCUGGUGGGUAGUUUGACUGGGGCGGUCUCCUCCCAAAUAGUAACGGAGGAGCACGAAGGUUAGCUAAUCACGGUCGGACAUCGUGAGGUUAGUGCAAUGGCAUAAGCUAGCUUAACUGCGAGACAGACACGUCGAGCAGGUACGAAAGUAGGUCAUAGUGAUCCGGUGGUUCUGUAUGGAAGGGCCAUCGCUCAACGGAUAAAAGGUACUCCGGGGAUAACAGGCUGAUACCGCCCAAGAGUUCAUAUCGACGGCGGUGUUUGGCACCUCGAUGUCGGCUCAUCACAUCCUGGGGCUGAAGUCGGUCCCAAGGGUAUGGCUGUUCGCCAUUUAAAGUGGUACGCGAGCUGGGUUUAGAACGUCGUGAGACAGUUCGGUCCCUAUCUGGUGUGGGCGUUGGAUGAUUGAUGGGAGCUGCUCCUAGUACGAGAGGACCGGAGUGGACGAACCGCUGGUGUUCGGGUUGUCAUGCCAAUGGCAUUGCCCGGUAGCUAUGUUCGGAACGGAUAACCGCUGAAAGCAUCUAAGCGGGAAGCCGGCCCAAAGAUGAGUCAUCCCUGACCUUUAAGGUCUGGAAGGGUUGUUAUAGACGAUGACGUUGAUAGGCAGGGUGUGGAAGCGUUGUAAGGCGUUAAGCUAACCUGUACUAAUUGCCCGAGAGGCUUAACCAUAC
rnacentral:rRNA from 1 species